rnacentral:rRNA from 1 species
UACGUAGGGUGCAAGCGUUUGUCCGGAAUUAUUGGGCGUAAAGAGCUCGUAGGCGGUUUGUCGCGUCUGCUGUGAAAAACUCGGGGCUUAACCCCCGGGCCUGCAGUGGGUACGGGCAGACUAGAGUGCGGUAGGGGGAGACUGGAAUUCCUGGUGUAGCGGUGAAAUGCGCAGAUAUCAGGAGGAACACCGGUGGCGAAGGCGGGUCUCUGGGCAGUUACUGACGCUGAGGAGCGAAAGCAUGGGGGAGCGAACAGG